rnacentral:rRNA from 1 species
AGCAGCCGCGGUAAUUCCAGCUCCAAUAGCGUAUAUUAAAGUUGUUGCAGUUAAAAAGCUCGUAGUUGAAUUUCGGGAUCAAUAUGUCGGUCGUGCCUUCGGUACGUACUGGCAUCAUUGGUUUCUCCCUUCUGACAAACCAUGAUGUCAUUAAUUUGGUGUUAUGGGGAGUUAGGACUGUUACUUUGAAAAAAUUAGAGUGUUUAAAGCAGGCAUUAGCUUGAAUACAUUAGCAUGGAAUAAUGAAAUAGGACGUUUGACCCUAUUUUGUUGGUUUCUAGGAUCGACGUAAUGAUUAAUAGGGAUAGUUGGGGGCAUUAGUAUUCAAUUGUCAGAGGUGAAAUUCUUGGAUUUAUUGAAGACUAACUACUGCGAAAGCAUUUGCCAAGGAUGUUUUCAUUAAUCAAGAACGAAAGUUAGGGGAUCGAAGACGAUCAGAUACCGUCGUAGUCCUAACCAUAAACUAUGCCGACUAGGGAUCGGAUGAUGUUAAUUUUUUAAUGACUCA